GAGGGUAUGGCUCAAGUGGUAGAGCACAUGCUUAGCGUGCACGAGGUCCUGGGUUCAAUCCCCAGCACUGCCU
rnacentral:tRNA from 1 species